GGUCAUUCCUAAUGAUUAUGGAAUGAUCAUUGAAAGAUUCGUCGAUCUUCUUUACAUCAUUUUGAAAUACAAACAUCAUCAACAAAUAAAUCAACAAAUAAAUUAAAAAAAUUAAAUAAAAUAUAAAUAUUUAUAUAGCUUGAAUAUAUAUAUCAUCAAAUGAAAAAUAAUUUGGAGUUUCGAGCUCAUUACAAAAUACACAGCAUUACAACGAUGGCGCACCAAGCAUCGCAC
rnacentral:lncRNA from 1 species